GGCCUCCAGGAUUGUGAGUGGCCUCUGGGAGCUGAGGGAAGCUUCCAGUUGAUGUCCAACAAGAAGCUGGGAUCCUUAGUCCUACAGGCAAAGGACACAAAUUCUGUCAACAACCUGAGUGUAUUCCUGGUCCUGCUCAGUGCUCUGGCAGGGUGAACCUCUACUGAUUGCAUCAAUUUGCUCCCUUUUCUCUGGCUUCUCAAUGGGUUCAGCCAAUGGGAGGCACCAGCAGGAAAUCAAAGAAUGGAAGGCAAGAGAAGGCUGCAUUCAAGAGCAUGUAAGCAUCUAAUGUGCAUGCACUGAACUUCUUCAAGGGACAAGAACCUGGCUCCUGAGGCCUGUGGGCUUCCACUUGACACCAGGAAUUCUAAAGUGCCCACACUCAAAAGAAGUCAUUCUCUUCCCCGGUGUCCUGAUUGAAAAAGAUGUGGAAAUGUUAAUUUACAAAGAACAUUAGACUCAUGUAUAUCUCUCUGGGGAGACACUUCUACUGUGGUAAAGCCAGCCUCUGUGUUAUGAGGACACUCCAGCAGUCCUAUGGAGAGGAUCAUGAGGAGGGAAACCAAGAUCUCCAGAGGAACAGACACCCCCUGACAACAUCCAGGGGAGUAAGCUGGGAAGCAGAUUACCUGGUCUUGGUCAAGACUUCGUAUGACUGCAAUCCUGGCCAGCACCUUCACUGCAACUUCAUGAAAGAUCCUAGACCAGAACCAUCCAGUUAAGCUGUCCUGUUUUUCCAACCCAUGGAAAUAAUGAGAAAAUAAAUGUUUGUUGUUUUAGGUCAUUCUAUUUUGGAAUGAUUUAUCAUAUAAUAAUCAAUAACUAAUACAGUACCAGGGGCAGGUUUUAAUUUGGAAUGAGUGUAUAGGAAAAUAUAAAGAAUAUGGUCAGAAAAAUUUAUCUUUUAUCCUUUAUUUUUUUUAUAUAUAGAAAUUAAUAGGCAUUAUGUAGAGAAAAUAGGAACACUUUUCAUGGGGUAUUUGGGUUGCAAAGUCAGAAAAUAUAACUCACACUUAUGUCAUCAUCGUUAUAAUUCUUACCAAAUACUAUUAAAAAUAAACUAUUUCAAAUAGUACUCUUGUAUUCAAUGACUUUUAUAAAGCCAUUGAAUAACAUAUCCCAGCUCUUAGGAACUCACAGAAUAUAGCAAUCUCUAC
rnacentral:lncRNA from 1 species